CCACUUAGGCAUAACCCAUUAUUGUGCAUAUGUUGUCAACCUGAUAAAAUUGAAGUCGGUUUGAAUCAUGGUAAGAGUCUCAUUAUGGCCUGAAAACAAUUUUCCCCAUUCUCCACUAAUUGUUGAGGAAGGUGACCAAUCGUAAAAAGGCCACUUCAUCUAAAAGAGGAUGCACUAAUUAAAAUGAGAUACUCUAAGGUGAUAGUGGCUCAACCUUGAUCUCCUCUCCUCUCUACCUCUUGAAAUCAUCAUCUUGUUCAAUGAAUAUUAGAUUCAAGAAGGACUUCACAAGCAACGAGAUUUGAGUCAACAUUUUAUUUGACAAUUAGUACCAUGCUCUUUCAAUUAUACGAG
rnacentral:lncRNA from 1 species